CUCGACUACAUGAAGCUGGAAUCGCUAGUAAUCGCGAAUCAGAAUGUCGCGGUGAAUACGUUCCCGGGUCUUGUACACACCGCCCGUCACACCAUGGGAGCCGGAAAUGCCCGAAGUCAGUGGCCCAACCGCAAGGAGGGAGCUGCCGAAGGUGGAGCUGGUGACUGGGGUGAAGUCGUAACAAGGUACC
rnacentral:rRNA from 1 species